rnacentral:lncRNA from 9 species
UGUUCCAUCCUUCAAUGAGGAAAUGCAAGGCUACUAAAAACAGAUCCAGAGGUUACACAGCUGGCUUGUAAAGCCAGCUGGAUAUGAUACUGAACCACAGUGACGAAAACCCUGGGAGCCGCAUGCCGAGCCCUGGGGUGAAAAAACUGAGGCCCAGGAUGUUAAGUUAUUUACAAAGCUGAUGUGUGAUGGAGAUCUGAGGAUGAGAGAGAGAGAACUUGAAGGCUCUGAUGCUCUGCUUUGGUAUCAUCGCCAACCUCCCUGGUCCACUUUGGGGUGCUGGCUGCUUUGUUUCUUAACUGAUGGAGUGGUUGUAGAAUUCUAUGACUUUGGAGUCGAAGGUGCUCGAAGUUUAGCCCUCAUGGCCUUGGUGCAGUGGUGUUUCCAUGUGGUUUGUGAAGACAUACUUACAGAAGGUACCCCACUUCUCUUAUACCAACUCCUCUGGGGUUACCCCCAUGGUCUCUGCUUCCUUCUUCUGUGAGAGGAAAUUUAUUUGCAUCCACUGUCAUAGGAGAAAAAAAAUGACACCUUUGGGGACAAACCCUAUCUUCUAGACUCUGUUCAACUCUCAAAAGCACUUUUCCUGCUCCUGUUUCCUGUCUCUACUUGCAGAGGUGCUCUGGUGAUACCUCCCUAAGGUUGAGUGAAUUUGGUUUCUGCCUGAGGAUCUCCUGAAAUGCCCACUUGGCUUCCCUAGAUGUGGAUCUCAAAACAGAGAUUGUUUUCUCAUAAUUGAAAGAAGACUCAAAUUCUGAUAUUUAGCUUUGAUGCAUCUGACACAUAUACAUGGAUGCUUCCCAAAUGCAGAGCAGUUCUGAGUGAAAUACUAAGAGCAGUUUCAGGAGACUGACACAGGGUUACCCACUUCCAGGAAGUCCUACCCUUCUCAUAUUCAGGGCCCAGAGUAAGAGAAUAAAGGCAAGCCCAC